UGGGGAAUUUUGGACAAUGGGCGAAAGCCUGAUCCAGCAAUGCCGCGUGUGUGAAGAAGGCCUUCGGGUUGUAAAGCACUUCUGUCCGGAAAGAAAUCCUUGGCUCUAAUACAGUCGGGGGAUGACGGUACCGGAAGAAUAAGCACCGGCUAACUACGUGCCAGCAGCCGCGGUAAUACGUAGGGUGCAAGCGUUAAUCGGAAUUACUGGGCGUAAAGCGUGCGCAGGCGGUUUGCUAAGACCGAUGUGAAAUCCCCGGGCUCAACCUGGGAACUGCAUUGGUGACUGGCAGGCUAGAGUAUGGCAGAGGGGGGUAGAAUUCCACGUGUAGCAGUGAAAUGCGUAGAGAUGUGGAGGAAUACCGAUGGCGAAGGCAGCCCCCUGGGCCAAUACUGACGCUCAUGCACGAAAGCGUGGGGAGCAAACAGGAUUAGAUACCCUGGUAGUCCACGCCCUAAACGAUGUCAACUAGUUGCUGGGGAUUCAUUUCCUUAGUAACGUAGCUAACGCGUGAAGUUGACCGCCUGGGGAGUACGGUCGCAAGAUUAAAAGC
rnacentral:rRNA from 1 species